AAUCCAUCUCUCACCCGCCCACUGCCCCGACCCGUACUGCGUCGCCGCCGCCCCCGCGCCUCCGCGACCGCCCCCGCGGCACCGCACCUCCCAUCUCGCUUCUCAGUUCUCUCCCCACUCCCUAGAUCUAGCAACCUCACUCCGGUAUAGAAGGACCCCUCCUCCCACGGCCGCCGGGCCCUCGUCCUCUACCCCAUAGCCACCGCAUCCGACCUCCACCGCGCCGCUGCCUCCCUCCCUCAUCGGCAGAGCCCGCCCCCUAGUAGUCUUCCACACACCCAUGGACGACGGCGACAGUGACGCGGCAGCCGCCUCCCUCCUGCGCGUCUCUUCUAGCGACGGUACCGCACCCACCUACGACGUCUGCUGCACAAAAAGCACGACGGAGGCGGGCGGACCCAAGCUGGCCGCGUGGGGUGGAUCCCCGUCCACCCCAUUCUCUCGCCUCGGCGUGUCUCAUGGGGGAACUCGCGGCCCUCGACGGCGGCGAGCGAGGAGGCUCCCGCUGCAGCUCCAAGCACCUUCCCGACAUGCUGCAUGGCCUAGACGGCCAAGGUACAAUAAAAAAUGGCAAGCCAGAAUGUGCUAGCUAUUUGCCAAUUUGUCGUAACAUGCAUGUAAAGAGAUGGCAGUAGUUUAUGCACAUUCCUUGACUUCAACAGAUGACUAUCCAGAUUCAAUUGGGACCGCUAAGGUUAGGUAGGAGCACAAAGGUAGAUUGAAAAUUACCAGCGAGUCCAUCUCCUACUUCGACUGCAAUUGAGAUUGCGAAGAACUUGCCACUUGCACCAGUAAAGCUCCAUUGCACUAUGCCUGCUGAAGAUGCAAUUAAAAUCAAAGAAGGUGAAUCUGGGAGACAGCCUUGCAGAGACACCUUUGAAAGUUUCUUGUAUGUACCCAUGAGGACCGUCAUGGUAUCCACCCACACCCUCUUGUUGGCUUUCUAUGCGGUGCCUCAGCCUCCUAUAGAUGACCGAAAGCUUGCAGUAGCAUCAUCAUCAUCUCUGUCUCCUUCCUCACGAGCUUCAUGUCGUAGAUGAGGUCGCAACCGAGGUUUGCAUCACGGAUGCCGUCGACGGUGGGCAUACAUGCUGUGGCGGAAGCUCAUUGCAUAUUGUAGGUUGAACUCAUGCUUUUGUUUGUUAACUCUUGUUGCAUACGUACACAUGUUGUGAACCCUCCUUGAAUAUGUAUGUGUGUUUUUGUGAAACUAUGUUGGAUAUGUAUGCAUGUGUGGACUUUGAACUCAUCAUCAGUUUGUUAUUUUUGUGAACUUCUAAUAUAUUGGAUAUGUAUGCAUGACCAUUUCAUUUGUGAA